rnacentral:misc_RNA from 1 species
CUUUUGAGUUUCAUUUGGAUAAUUUGAGCAUAUUUGAACAAAUCUGGUAAAUUAUAGAGUAUAUGUAAACCAUAAACAUCAAUGAAAGACAAAUUUGUGACGAUUUCACAAAGUUCAUGGAAAUCCAAACUCUACAACGAAUUUAAAAGAGGACUACAUGCAUGUGUAAACACCUCAACGAACUCAUGUGGACACUCCUCAGCCCGAGGACAAUCUCUCAAAUACACGUGUUGAUGUUGUUGACCCACUUUUCUUUUCCUCGUUGAUUCCUCUCAAUGAAAUUUUCUAUGUUGCACUAACAAAUUUGGACCUUCAUCGAAAGUUUGAUUCAAGAACUGAACAAGGGCUCUGGAUCUACAUUUCUUCUAAUCCAAUUGUCUUCUGCCCAUUUGCAGCCAUUAGUAUCCACCACAUGUAAACUGUAUGCAUGUCGUGACUUUGAAGACUGGUUCUCAAAACUCUGGUGAAUAAGAUCUCCGUGAAUGACUACCAAAGAUCCAGCUUUUACUUCAAGUGAAACGAAAUCUUCCUGGUUAUAGCAUGGAGAUGGCUUAUCAAAAUGAACCCCACUUUCAUCUCUAAGGAAUCUCCUCACAAGGCCAUUUUUGUGGGACCCUGGUAUAGCCCAUAGACAGCCAUUUACAAUUGUUGCUUCCUCUAAAGCUAGCCACAAGCCAGUGCAUGUUGUUGGUUCAGUGUACAGAAAAGAGUUAUCUUGGUGCGGCACCACUUCACCCCCAAUACCGGGUUGCUUAAAUAUGUACAUUGAUUGAAUGACUACUGGCCUCUGGUAACCCAAGGACCGCAACAUGCUUGAGACUUUGCCUGAGCUAGAGAACUUAUUAAAUACAGCAUCUUUUUCAUGAAGAGCGUGCCCAACUUUAUUUAUUGAGAGUUGCUUUGGCUGCUUUAGGUUUCUAUCUUCAUCAAAUGCUUUCUCUUCCCAGAAGAAUGAAAU